rnacentral:rRNA from 1 species
CCUACGGGUGGCAGCAGUGGGGAAUAUUGGGCAAUGGGCGAAAGCCUGACCCAGCAACGCCGCGUGAAGGAAGAAGGCUUUCGGGUUGUAAACCUCUUUUUAUAGGGAAGAGCAGAAGACGGUACCUGUCUAAUAAGCCCCGGCUAAUUACGUGCCAGCAGCCGCGGUAAUACGUAGGUCGCAAGCGUUAUCCGGAUUUACUGGGUGUAAAGGGCGUGUAGCCGGGCUGGCAAGUCAGAUGUGAAAUCCGGGGGCUCAACCCCCGAACUGCAUUUGAAACUGUUGGUCUUGAGUAUCGGAGAGGUAGGCGGAAUUCCUAGUGUAGCGGUGAAAUGCGUAGAUAUUAGGAGGAACACCAGUGGCGAAGGCGGCCUACUGGACGGCCACUGACGGUGAGGCGCGAAAGCGUGGGGAGCAAACAGGAUUAGAUACCCGAGUAGUC